rnacentral:rRNA from 1 species
GACGAACGCUGGCGGCGUGCUUAACACAUGCAAGUCGAACGGAAAGGCCCUGCUUUUGUGGGUUGCUCGAGUGGCGAACGGGUGAGUAACACGUGAGUAACCUGCCCUUGACUUUGGGAUAACUUCAGGAAACUGGGGCUAAUACCGGAUAGGAGCUCUUGCUGCAUGGUGGGGGUUGGAAAGUUUCGGCGGUUGGGGAUGUACUCGCGGCUUAUCAGCUUGUUGGUGUGGUAGUGGCUUACCAAGGCUUUGACGGAUAGCCUGCCUGAGAGGGUGACCGGCGACAUGGGGACUGAGAGACGGACCAGAAUGCUACGGGAGGCAGCAGUGGGGAGUAUUGCACAAUGGGCGGAAGCCAGAUGCAGAAACGCCGCGUGCGGGAUAACGGCCUUCGGGUUGUAAACCGCUUUCGAAUGUGACGAAGAGUGAGUGACGGUAAUGGGUAAGGAAGCACCGGCUAACUACGUG